CAAUGUUAAGUUUCCCUCUCCAUGAAAAUUCCCUUCCCUCUCGAUGAAGCCCUCUCUCCCUAUCGGAGUUCAAACCCUCUCUCUCCCUCUCUAUCACAUCUCUGCACCUAAACCCUCUCUCCCCAGCUCAACCUUUUCUAAGCCGACUCUCACAUCUCAGAGAGACAGAGGCAACGAGGAGGUGGACUUCGGUCGGCUUCGUCACGAGGAUCGACGUCGGCGCCGUCUUCUGGAUCGUCGUCGGCGCCAUCUUUUGGAUAGUCGUCAUCGCGGGUAACUUCUCUUCGAGGUCCAGAGAGCGAAUCAGAAAGACAGUCGAAAAGGUGAUGGUCAUCGGUGUCAUCGACAGAGUGAACGUCGUCAUCACUCUCGUUGCCUGCUCGUCGCUGUCACGGUCAUCGCGGUCCUAGCCUUUUAGAGAAGAAGAUCGGCAAAGAGGUUCAUUUCAUUUUCCUCGACUCUCCGACGCCGACCCCGACCCCAACUCCAAAUCGUCUCUUCGAUCUCGGACCUCAAGGAUCUUGUGGACUUGCUGGAAUUGAAUGUGCCUCUCAUAUAUAAUAUACAUAGACAGCUGGGGAGUGGCUGGACCAAGAUUCCAUAGAGGAAUUGGGCUUUUACAAUUUAACUGGAGGAAUCCCACAAUCCAUGGCAUCUGUUUUAUUGUUGGUAAUUUCUAAACUACAAUACUUUGACCUUUGGGGGAGUAAAAUAUCUGACCAAGGUAGUUGCUGGAUUAGCAGCUGAUGGAAGGCAAAUUGUUGGCAGGACCAAGUCUGAAGCUAACAACUAUGAAAGCCUACAUGGUAGUAUAUAUGUCAUUAACUUUCUCUCCGAAUCUCUCUCUCAGUAAAGCAGGUCCUUCUAACACCACCAACUUGAAAAAUGUGCAAGAGGUCGAGCUAAGUCAACCCAAUAACAAAUUGAUGAAGUUAAGAUCAAAUUAGUGGAAUUUGUGAGCUCCAUUAUUUCUAAUUAUAGGUAGGAAGUAUGUAUGUAAUAGAAUAAAGAUUGGUUGACUAUGUAAUAAUUAUUGAAUCUUCAAGUUUUA